rnacentral:lncRNA from 1 species
GGAUACUGUGUGACUGUUUAGCAAACCCUACCCUAGGACGGUGUUUCAAACGUCGUACCCAAAACAACAUCAUGGCGAAAAAAUAUAACGAUAGUUAGUGAAAUACAUGCAAUUGUAGCAAAGGAUUAUGGAUGUGGAAAAUUGGAAUAUUUGAGUCUUUCAUAUACUUUUUAUGUUUUUACUUUAUUCUUUACAAAUAAAUACGAUUAGUCUUAAGUUAAUUUAGCACAAAGAUUUAAAGUCUCACGCAAAAAAAAGUUUUCACACCUGAAAAUCUGAAAACUUCAAUUUCCAUAAAUAUUAAGCUAUCAAAUACAAACAGAGUAAUGAUUUUGAAGAGCUGAGAUCGAAAGAAUUCUCGAGUUACUAGAUUUCAAAAAAUUUGGGAUGCCAGCUCGAGUUAUCCUAUUAGGCUUGUAUCCCACGGUCAAUUCAGAUCAUUAAUAGUAAUAGUUAACUUUCCAGAUACUCUACGGAGAGUUGAAUUUAUACUUUGAUCUAACAAACAAAAAUCAAGUUAAUUAAUAGAUAAGUCAAUUGAAAGCUCACCAGGCGAAAUGUCUUAUCUUGCCGCAAAGAAAAAUAUAUAUAUAGUAUACAGGAUAAAACUUUUUUUCAAAAAUUCAGAUUUAGCUGAUGUUUUUUAAGUUGUUUCAAGCAAGGUUUCAUCUCUUGCUGAUGCCAAUAAUUAUACUCUUAAGUUCGAGUGUAACUGAUAAAAAAAAAUCAAUCUUUGUAGUAUAGGAGUUUCAAAAAACGUUUACAUUCUUCAAACCAAAAAAAGCUAAAGGGCGCAUUAUCAUAGAAAAAGUUUUUUCUAAAUUAGCUCCGCAAUCAGCAUAGAGGAAAUAUGAAAACAAUAUACCGCACUUUCAAGAACUCAAUAAUAAAACGUACCUGAAUUACAAUUGCUCGACCUUUCUCCGAGAAAGUUACUUUGAUAGGAUCAGAGAGAAGAUUAGCUUAUAAGAAGAUAGGUAUCAACAUCCGAUCAAUUUAAUAUCGGAGAUCUGAACAACUUGUCUCAUCAUUUCCUUCUCCUGGUCGACUUUAUGGAACUAAAGGGUUACAAUUGCCAUUCGUUUAUUGAUCGAUAGUAAGCUUUCUUGAUAUCAUUAAAUAGGUUUUAUAGUUAUUUAUCACCAAGUGUACAUGUAUUUCUAAAGUCAUCCACUAUGAUUUAAUCCAACGCCAAUACAGAUAAGUUUUAGUCUUUCAGUUAUUUGAAGUUUCGAUUCAUAGGAUUUUGAAAUACAAGUUCAGCUGGCAAUAGGAAACAGGUUAAUUGCAAUUAACA